UGGGGAAUAUUGGACAAUGGGCGCAAGCCUGAUCCAGCAAUGCCGCGUGUGUGAAGAAGGCCUUCGGGUUGUAAAGCACUUUAUCAGGAGCGAAACGCUGUCGGCUAAUACCCGGCGGAACUGACGGUACCUGAGGAAUAAGCACCGGCUAACUUCGUGCCAGCAGCCGCGGUAAUACGAAGGGUGCAAGCGUUAAUCGGAAUUACUGGGCGUAAAGCGUGCGUAGGCGGUUUCUUAAGUCUGCUGUGAAAUCCCCGGGCUCAACCUGGGAAUGGCAGUGGAUACUGGGAGGCUAGAGUGUGUCAGAGGGUGGUGGAAUUCCCGGUGUAGCGGUGAAAUGCGUAGAGAUCGGGAGGAACAUCAGUGGCGAAGGCGGCCACCUGGGACAACACUGACGCUGAGGCACGAAAGCGUGGGGAGCAAACAGGAUUAGAUACCCUGGUAGUCCACGCCCUAAAGCGAUGCGAACUGGAUGUUGGUCUCAACUCGGAGAUCAGUGUCGAAGCUAACGCGUUAAGUUCGCCGCCUGGGGAGUACGGUCGCAAGACUGAAACUCAAAUGAAUUGACGGGGGUCAUAGCUG
rnacentral:rRNA from 1 species